AAAUCACUCUGGUGACAAACAAACUUUGCUUCCCUGUUUCCAAUUGUCCACAAGGCUGGGUGAACCUAUUCAAGUAAUUAAAUACAUUUCGAAAAUGUAAAAUAAACAAUGUAUUAUUACCUAACUAGCUACAGUGCAGGCUAACUCAAAUGAGCUGCUAAAUGAGCUAGGCUAGCUAGCUAUCUAGCCAACUUCACAUACUGUAUAGAUAGGUAGCUGGUGAUAUUUCAUUAUUAAGGUAGCUAACUUCAUAUUAGCUAGUUAUCUAUAUGUAUUUAUCACUGUAUAAAACAAACUCCAAAUGCAUUUCUAGGUAGCUAGCUAAGAGCCACGGAGAAGGAUGAAAGGAUAAUAGCCCCAACUGUCAAAAUGAGAGAGUAGGCUAUUCUGGAUAGGGCAGGUACUUUUGUGUAAUUCCUAUCCCUAGAAGUAUGGACGGAGAUAAUGGUAACAUACUAACAGUGCAGUGUAAUUUCAGUAUAAUGAAGUCUGUUGUGAGGUUUUCUCUUUAGAUUUAUUUUAUUUAUUUCACCUUUAUUUAACCAGGUAGGCAAGUUGAGAACAAGUUCUCAUUUACAAUUGCGACCUGGCCAAGAUAAAGCAAAGCCGUUCGACAUAUACAACAACACAGAGUUACACAUGGAGUAAAACAAACAUACAGUCAAUAAUACAGUAGAAAAAUAAGUCUAUAUACAAUGUGAGCAAAUGAGGUGAGAUAAGGGAGGUAAAGGCAAAAGGCCAUGGUGGCAAAGUAAAUACAAUAUAGCAAGUAAAACACUGGAAUGGUAGAUUUGUAGUGGAAGAAAGUGCAAAGUAGAAAUAGACAUAAUGGGGUGCAAAGGAGCAAAAUAAAUAAAUACAGUAGGGGAAGAGGUAGUUGUUAGGGCUAAAUUAUAGAUGGGCUAUGUACAGGUGCAGUGAUCUGUGAGCUGCUCUGACAGAUGGUGCUUAAAGCUAGUGAGGGAGAUAAGUGUUUCCAGUUUCAGAGAUUUUUGUAGUUCGUUCCAGUCAUUGGCAGCGGAGAACUGUAAGGAGAGACGGCCAAAGGAGGAAUUGGCUUUUGGGGGGACCAGAGAGAUAUACCUGCUGGAGCGCGUGCUACAGGUGGGUGCUCGCGUGCUAUAGGUGGGUGCUGCUGUAACAGUGUAGGUUCCAUCCCUCUCUUCGCCCCAACCUGGGCUCGAACCAGGGACCCUUGCACACAUCAACAACUGACACCCCACGAAGCAUCGUUACCCAUCGCGCCACAAAAGCCGCGGCCCUUGCAACGCAAGGGGCAACCCUACUUCAAGUCUCAGAGCGGGUGACGUCACCGAUUGAAACGCUAUUAGCGCGCACCACCGCUAACUAACUAGCCAUUUCACAUCGGUUACACUGCUAUGGUGACCAGUGAGCUGAGAUAAGGGGGGACUUUACCUAGCAGGGUCUUGUAGAUGACCUGGAGCCAGUGGGUUUGGCGACGAGUAUGAAGCGAGGGCCAGCCAACGAGAGUAUACAGGUUGCAGUGGUGGGUAGUAUAUGGGGCUUUGGUGACAAAACGGAUGGCACUGUGAUAGACUGCAUCCAGUUUAUUGAGUAGGGUAUUGGAGGCUAUUUUGUAAAUGACAUCGCCGAAGUCGAGGAUCGGUAGGAUGGUCAGUUUUACGAGGGUAUGUUUGGCAGCAUGAGUGAAGGAUGCUUUGUUGCGAAAUAGGAAGCCAAUUUUAGAUUUAACUUUGGAUUGGAGAUGUUUGAUGUGAGUCUGGAAGGAGCUUUACAGUCUAACCAGACACCUAGGUAUUUGUAGUUGUCCACAUAUUCUAAGUAAAAACCGUCCAGAGUAGUGAUACUGGACGGGCGGGCAGGUGCGGGCAGCGAUCGGUUGAAGUGCAUGCAUUUAGUUGUACUUGUAUUUUAAGAGCAG
rnacentral:lncRNA from 1 species